rnacentral:rRNA from 1 species
UACGUAGGGUGCAAGCGUUAAUCGGAAUUACUGGGCGUAAAGCGUGCGCAGGCGGUGAUGUAAGACAGAUGUGAAAUCCCCGGGCUUAACCUGGGAACUGCAUUUGUGACUGCAUCGCUGGAGCGCGGCAGAGGGGGAUGGAAUUCCGCGUGUAGCAGUGAAAUGCGUAGAUAUGCGGAGGAACACCGAUGGCGAAGGCAAUCCCCUGGGCCUGCACUGACGCUCAUGCACGAAAGCGUGGGGAGCAAACAGG